AGGGGGAAACGCCCUGCUCCAUUUCGAACCAGGAAGCUAAGACCCUCAUCGCCGAUAAUACUGCACCUUACUGGUGUGGGAAUGUAGGUCGCCGCCGGUU
rfam:Campylobacteraceae bacterium 4484_4 ex4484_4_scaffold_178, whole genome shotgun sequence.